AUUGAACGCUGGCGGCAGGCCUAACACAUGCAAGUCGAACGGUAACAGGAAGCAGCUUGCUGCUUUGCUGACGAGUGGCGGACGGGUGAGUAAUGUCUGGGAAACUGCCUGAUGGAGGGGGAUAACUACUGGAAACGGUAGCUAAUACCGCAUAACGUCGCAAGACCAUAGAGGGGGACCUUCGGGCCUCUUGCCAUCGGAUGUGCCCAGAUGGGAUUAGCUAGUAGGUGGGGUAACGGCUCACCUAGGCGACGAUCCCUAACUGGUCUGAGAGGAUGACCAGCCACACUGGAACUGAGACACGGUCCAGACUCCUACGGGAGGCAGCAGUGGGGAAUAUUGCACAAUGGGCGCAAGCCUGAUGCAGCCAUGCCGCGUGUAUGAAGAAGGCCUUCGGGUUGUAAAGUACUUUCAGCGGGGAGGAAGGGAGUAAAGUUAAUACCUUUGCUCAUUGACGUUACCCGCAGAAGAAGCACCGGCUAACUCCGUG
rnacentral:rRNA from 1 species